CGCCUAAUAACAUGUAUUUAACAACAACAUUUAUAAAUUACAAGAAAUUAGAACAUUGACAUGCACGUAUAAUUUUACCUGGAUAAUUGUAUUCUUAACUAUAAGAGUGGACGAAAGAGAAUGGUACACAAGUUCUUCAGUCAAAAGCCAGUCGGAUACCUCCUAUAUAGGUGGGCUAUUAUUGUACAACAGAACUGCAGAAGGUGGUCAAUCUAUAUACUCUCUACUUUGAGCAUGUUUCAAGUUUGAUGAGAGUUUGAUCGGUAAUAUCCACUUUAAUUCUCAUCAAUUGUUCUCCUUCGAUCAAUGCUGGGGCCUGUCCACAAAUUGCUCAAAAUUUUGAAAAAAGUUGCUAGUUUUUAACGAAAGUUGCUCAGGUUGCUUGAGCAACAAAUGUUUUACAAAGUGGGAGCCAAGUGUUUUAAAAAUAUGAUGUGUCAAAAUUCUCACAUUCGCUUGAACUGGUACUGGACAAAUAAGUGCGUUAAGCCCGCGUUCUCCACUAGGCGAAUUUGUUCGCGCGAACAGUAAAAAAGUAGGAACUGUCCAACUUUUUCGCGGCGAAUUUUUUCGCUGACCAACCACAUUGCCAAGAUUUGUUUUUCGCUUCGCGCGAAAAAGUUCGCCUAUAGUGCAGAACGGGCUUUAGAGGUUUAGGGCAUCGACAAUUCCUGGUUCUCAGUUGGCUCAUGCUGACAAUGUAAUACAUGUCGUAUAAAUUACGUGACGGAGAACUCUUUUUCAAGUUGUAUUUAUUCAAUACUGAGCUUAAUUAAACAAGUUAAAACGACAAAAAAUAUAAAUCUUUUUAAAGAUUGAAUGUUAAAACAUUCCUCCA
rnacentral:lncRNA from 1 species